rnacentral:rRNA from 1 species
UACGGAGGAUCCGAGCGUUAUCCGGAUUUAUUGGGUUUAAAGGGAGCGUAGGCGGGUUGUUAAGUCAGUUGUGAAAGUUUGCGGCUCAACCGUAAAAUUGCAGUUGAUACUGGCGACCUUGAGUGCAACAGAGGUAGGCGGAAUUCGUGGUGUAGCGGUGAAAUGCUUAGAUAUCACGAAGAACUCCGAUUGCGAAGGCUGCUUACUGGAUUGUAACUGACGCUGAUGCUCGAAAGUGUGGGUAUCAAACAGG